UCUAUUUCCCUCUCCAUUGUCUUCACACUUACCAUUUCCUUAUGUAUCUGUAGGUCUGCCUUGGGUUUCUGAUUUUGUAGGUUUCCAUAGAAGCUCAAAGAAGAUGAAGGCGCGAGAGGCGUCGUUUGCGGUGGCUUACAUGGAAGAGUUGUAGUGGUCCGACGACGUGGAGAAACUCGCAAUUAAGGUUCUAAUUUUGUCUCGUGGUGGCUUGUGGUGGUGAAAAUGUUGGGUGAAGUCGCAAUUGGUUUAUAUUGCUUGUUCAUGGAGCAAAUGCAAGUACCGUGAAGGAAUUGAGGAAGCUGAACAAAUUCUCUAUAUUCUUGAUGUCUUGAAAGAUAUGUUAAAAUAAGAAGUACUACAAUAAUGUUCCUAAAUUUUUAUUUGUAACGUUUUUUUAUAGUUUUUCCUUAAAGUGCUUAUGGAAAAAUUCGUCUGGACCUUUGGUCACUCUGUUUUUGGAGGAUGGAGAUGGAGGUCCUUUAAUUUGUGUUAUCAAUGAUGAUGAUUUAAUGCAUUGCAAAGGUUGAUGGAAAGCAAGCUUAUGCAAUUCACUUGGAACCACCCCUUGAGCAAGCAUAAAAGUGGAAAAAUAGAAGUCCCAAAGUACCAAAUCCCUGCGAAUAUACGAUGCUCAUGUUGGAAUUAGUGGUUCUGAACCCAAAAUAUCCUCAUUCAAUGAUUUCACAGACAAGGUUACAAAUUAUUUUGCUAUUAGUAGCAGAUAUGGUACUCUUGAGGAUUUCAAGCGAUUAGUUGAUGAGGUCCAUGGAAACCAGUUGCCUUAUUUUAUGAGAGGGAUACUAAAGAACAUGGAAGAAACCAAGAAGAAGAACCUUAGACAUCUUUAUCUUUAAUUUUUUGUAUUGAAC